AAGAAUACCAAAAGCUAUAGUUAAUAUAGACAGUGUGACCGGUUUACAGGAGUAAAAAAUACUUACGUUCGUACAUCUACAGCUCUUUUGUCAGGUCGAGAAUCGCGCAGAGCAUACAUACAAAAUAUUUUAUUGCUGGUUUUGGUGGUAAAUUUGCAUUUGUUAAUGGCCGCGGCCAGACGUGCCCGCUUCUUAACUCACACACAAAAAGAAUAUAUUAUUUAAAAAUAAGAUAAGAAACUGAUACAGAACAAUGAAAUGUGUUCAAUUAAUGUUUUUUACCUAUUGACAUGUAAAAACAAAUAUUGAAACUAAAAUUGAAAUCAACAACAACCAACAACAUUCUUCCGCAACUUGGCAACAGACUCGGCUUUAGUUUAUAAGCUUAUUUUUUCGUGUAAAUUUGUCAAAGACACUGUACUAUCUAUAAUAUGUAAUAUCUAUUGUAAGGCAAGUGAAAUGAAAGAUAAAACAAAACAUUCAAAUCGAUCUCUAAAAGCUCUUUAAUAAUUAAAUAAUACACAGAAUUACCUAGUUUCUCUUUCACUUCGCCUGCCUUAGAGCUCAUUUGUAAUUUUUGUACUUGUCCUACGUCUUUGGUUCCAAUAUUGCUCUAACCCCAUUUAUACCAUCCAACAACAACUAUACAUACACAUUGUUUGUUUUAUGCACCCACACACACAGACACAUACAUGCAUACAAGCAUAUAUGUAUAUGAAAUUUACAGUACAACUUUGAUAGAUUGUAACCUCCGCUUACCAAAUCCUAUUUGUAGCAGAUAAGGGCAAUGCUUCGUAUACAUAUACAUAUGUAUAUAAUUUAUAUAUAUAUAUAAAUAUAUGUAUAUAUAUAAUGAAAUUGUGAAUCUUAUUUACUUAGCUUAUCAACAGAGACAUCAAAUAUUGACAGCUAAUAAAACUUGUCAACUUGUAAAUUAUAUCAACUCUUUUUAUCGGUCGCUGUUCCUGAUUAAUUUAUAUGAAUAGGUUUAUAUGCGCUUUUUCUUUGAAAAUGGAAAGAAAACCGAAAUAUAUGCUAUAUUAGUACAUAACAGUCCGUCUGAAUCUAAGUCUUAGGCUUACACUAUCACUCCAUAACUAAAGUAGCGCCCAAACAUGAUAAUCACAAUAUGGACUUUGUAGAUUUCUUCAUAAUUUUUCUUCAUAUUGAGGAAUCCCGCUUGAUAUGCCCAUAGGUCCUAAGAUCAAGUUUUAGGUAGAUAAAGAACCAAUAAAUUUUUUAAAGAGCAAUUAAUGGAUACAAAGACAAGAUCGUAUGGUGUCUAAACUAUUAAGUUACAA